GACGGAAGGUGCAAGCGUUGCUCGGAAUCACUGGGCGUAAAGGGUGCGUAGGCGGCUUGGUGGGUCUGGUGUGAAAGCCCCGGGCUCAGCCCGGGAAGGGCACUAGAAACUGCCGAGCUGGAGUGCCGGAGGGGAGAGUGGAAUUCCUGGUGUAGCGGUGAAAUGCGUAGAUAUCAGGAGGAAUACCGGUGGCGAAAGCGACUCUCUAGACGGCAACUGACGCUGAGGCACGAAAGCGUGGGGAGCAAACAGG
rnacentral:rRNA from 1 species